GUGGGGAAUUUUGGACAAUGGGCGCAAGCCUGAUCCAGCAAUGCCGCGUGCAGGAAGAAGGCCUUCGGGUUGUAAACUGCUUUUGUACGGAACGAAACGGUCCGGGUUAAUACCCUGGGCUAAUGACGGUACCGUAAGAAUAAGCACCGGCUAACUACGUGCCAGCAGCCGCGGUAAUACGUAGGGUGCAAGCGUUAAUCGGAAUUACUGGGCGUAAAGCGUGCGCAGGCGGUUUUGUAAGACAGGCGUGAAAUCCCCGGGCUCAACCUGGGAAUUGCGCUUGUGACUGCAAGGCUGGAGUUCGGCAGAGGGGGAUGGAAUUCCGCGUGUAGCAGUGAAAUGCGUAGAUAUGCGGAGGAACACCGAUGGCGAAGGCAAUCCCCUGGGCCUGUACUGACGCUCAUGCACGAAAGCGUGGGGAGCAAACAGGAUUAGAAACCCUUGUAGUCC
rnacentral:rRNA from 1 species